rnacentral:ncRNA from 2 species
AAUAGUGGAAGAGGCUGCGAACAUCAAGAGUAAAAUGCCCGUUUGAAAGGGGUGUUCGCCGAAAUACAGCAUUGGCUGUGUUGGGUUCAGGGUAAAUAAUCCUGAGACUGUCAGAACGGUUUGCCCAAAACCGUUCGUGGAGUACUUUCGGUAUU